CGGACGGGUGAGUAACACGUGGAUAACCUACCUAUAAGACUGGGAUAACUUCGGGAAACCGGAGCUAAUACCGGAUAAUAUAUUGAACCGCAUGGUUCAAUGGUGAAAGACGGUUUUGCUGUCACUUAUAGAUGGAUCCGCGCCGCAUUAGCUAGUUGGUAAGGUAACGGCUUACCAAGGCAACGAUGCGUAGCCGACCUGAGAGGGUGAUCGGCCACACUGGAGCUGAGACACGGUCCAGACUCCUACGGGAGGCAGCAGAG
rnacentral:rRNA from 1 species